rnacentral:lncRNA from 1 species
CUAGUAUUUGUUUUUUUUAAGCUCCUUACGUUAUACGGAGGAUGUUCCUAAAUUAUGCUACCCUCGUGCCACCGAUAUUUGAGAUUCGUUACCUCUCUUAAAGCUCCAUUUCUCAAUUUAAACGUCAAGAGUUACUCCUGAUGAAUUGUAUGACAGCUUUUAAUGCACUUGAGUGUUUACAAAAGACAUUGUGGACUGUUGUAAAAUAAAGUGUUUUCAACUAACGUUUAACUCAUUUAACUAUUAUUAUAUAGACAUGCACUUCAAAUAGCCUUAUAUCACAGCAACAUAGUACAUAGGAUCUUUUGAAACUGCUACAAUAAAGUAAUUUGAAAGAAUGUGUGAUAAUAACUGAAGGCGUUUUUAUUACUUAGUCUAAAAUGUCAUUGAGGCUGUAAAAUUGUGGAUCUAAACUCUAAAGGAAAUAAAGAUAUAGAAGAAAUCAAGGAAAUUCAAGGAUGUCAUCUUCCAGAUUUAUACCAAAUUAGUGAAUCAAUUAAGUGACAACUUAACCUACAUAACAUGGCGGGUUAUAUUUAGAGAACUAUGUGAAAAGUAUCUUGACUUUCUGAGCCUAGUCUACCUCAUAUAGACACAUCCUUCCUGUACAACCGAUUGUUAGGGGUACAAUAACAAGUGAAAAGUAACCAUCGCAGAGUUCACAAGUCUAAGUAUCCCAAGUAUGUUUAUAUGAAUUUUCUGUAUCUGACUCAGAUGGCAUAUUUUAAAUAAUGAAUAUUAUAAACCUUUUCAUUAAUAUAAGUAGAAUAUAUUAGUAAAGAUUUCGCAUGUUAUACAUUGAAAUAAAAUUUGUAGGUUUGUGCGCUAGGAAUUGCAAAUUUUAUUUUUUCAAAAAUUUCAACUUGAAAUGACACCUUAUAUUCUUUAUUUAUAAACAGAUGGUGUUAUUCUGGUUCAAUGGAAACAAUAUGAUGUCCACUCCUAUUAAUUGUAUCAAUAUUUUAAAAAUUAGAUCGUUAUAAAAUAAAAUGCAUGUACUAAAUAUAUUAUAACACAUUUAUUUAUGUUUAAUAAUAUAUACUUACUACAAUUA